GACGAACCGUCCAAACGUUGUUCGGAAUCACUGGGCUUAAAGGGCGCGUAGGCGGGUGACCAAGUCCGGGGUGAAAUCUUUCGGCUCAACCGGAAAACUGCCUUGGAUACUGGUCGUCUCGAGGGAGGUAGGGGUCUGUGGAACUUCCGGUGGAGCGGUGAAAUGCGUUGAUAUCGGAAGGAACGCCGGUGGCGAAAGCGACGGACUGGACCUCUUCUGACGCUGAGGCGCGAAAGCCAGGGGAGCAAACGGG
rnacentral:rRNA from 1 species